GAUGAGCCCGCGGCCUAUCAGCUAGUUGGUGGGGUAAUGGCCUACCAAGGCGACGACGGGUAGCCGGCCUGAGAGGGCGACCGGCCACACUGGGACUGAGACACGGCCCAGACUCCUACGGGAGGCAGCAGUGGGGAAUAUUGCGCAAUGGGCGAAAGCCUGACGCAGCAACACCGCGUGAGGGAUGACGGCCUUCGGGUUGUAAACCUCUUUCAGCUCCGACGAAGCGAAAGUGACGGUAGGAGCAGAAGAAGCACCGGCUAACUACGUGCCAGCAGCCGCGGUAAUACGUAGGGCGCAAGCGUUGUCCGGAAUUAUUGGGCGUAAAGAGCUUGUAGGUGGCUUGUCGCGUCUGCCGUGAAAACCCGAGGCUCAACCUCGGGCGUGCGGUGGGUACGGGCAGGCUAGAGUGUGGUAGGGGAGACUGGAACUCCUGGUGUAGCGGUGAUAUGCGCAGAUAUCAGGAAGAACACCGAUGGCGAAGGCAGGUCUCUGGGCCAUUACUGACACUGAGAAGCGAAAGCAUGGGGAGCGAACAGGAUUAGAUACCCUGGUAGUCCAUGCCGUAAACGUUGGGCACUAGGUGUGGGGGAACAUUCCACGUUUUCCGCGCCGUAGCUAACGCAUU
rnacentral:rRNA from 1 species